rnacentral:rRNA from 1 species
CCUACGGGUGGCAGCAGUGAGGAAUAUUGGUCAAUGGACGAGAGUCUGAACCAGCCAAGUAGCGUGAAGGAUGACUGCCCUAUGGGUUGUAAACUUCUUUUAUAUGGGAAUAAAAUGUUCCACGUGUGGGAUUUUGUAUGUACCAUAUGAAUAAGGCUCGGCUAACUCCGUGCCAGCAGCCGCGGUAAUACGGAGGCUCCGAGCGUUAUCCGGAUUUAUUGGGUUUAAAGGGAGCGUAGGUGGAUUGUUAAGUCAGUUGUGAAAGUUUGCGGCUCAACCGUAAAAUUGCAGUUGAAACUGGCAGUCUUGAGUACAGUAGAGGUGGGCGGAAGUCGUGGUGUAGCGGUGAAAUGCUUAGAUAUCACGAAGAACUCCGAUGGCGAAGGCAGUUCACUGGACUGCAACUGACACUGAGGCUCGAAAGUGUGGGUAUCAAACAGGAUUAGAUACCCGAGUAGUC